CAAGAACCACAGAGAACUUUCUCUGAUGGUGAUGGCCGCUCUCUUGGUGACACUGAGCUUCUGAGGCAGCAGCGUCUGGGGACUGCCUCAUAUCCAGGGGGAGUAGGCAGAAAGUGGAAGUAAGUUUGGAACAUGUCAAAGGACGGGCUGCAAAUUUGGUUUUGGAUAUGAUGAUGGCUACAGCAAGUCUGAAGUCACCUCUAGAAUGCACCUGGAUGCCUUGGAAAUGAGUGUUUCCUGUCUGCCUGCCCUACUGAAGGUAAGCUCCACAAGGAUGGGUUCAACAUUUGCAAAUCAAUCAGUGUGACAGAACAAAUCAAUAAGAGAAGAC